rnacentral:rRNA from 2 species
GCGGCGUGCCUAAUACAUGCAAGUCGAACGCACUCUCGUUUAGAUUGAAGGAGCUUGCUCCUGAUUGAUAAACAUUUGAGUGAGUGGCGGACGGGUGAGUAACACGUGGGUAACCUGCCCUAAAGUGGGGGAUAACAUUUGGAAACAGAUGCUAAUACCGCAUAAAACCUAACACCGCAUGGUGUAGGGUUGAAAGAUGGUUUCGGCUAUCACUUUAGGAUGGACCCGCGGUGCAUUAGUUAGUUGGUGAGGUAAAGGCUCACCAAGACCGUGAUGCAUAGCCGACCUGAGAGGGUAAUCGGCCACACUGGACUGAGACACGGCCCAGACUCCUACGGGAGGCAGCAGUAGGGAAUCUUCCACAAUGGACGAAAGUCUGAUGGAGCAACGCCGCGUGAGUGAAGAAGGUUUUCGGAUCGUAAAACUCUGUUGUUGGAGAAGAAUGUAUCUGAUAGUAACUGAUCAGGUAGUGACGGUAUCCAACCAGAAAGCCACGGGCUAACUACGUGCCAGCAGCCGCGGUAAUACGUAGGUGGCAAGCGUUGUCCGGAUUUAUUGGGCGUAAAGCGAGCGCAGGCGGUUUCUUAAGUCUGAUGUGAAAGCCUUCGGCUCAACCGAAGAAGUGCAUCGGAAACUGGGAAACUUGAGUGCAGAAGAGGACAGUGGAACUCCAUGUGUAGCGGUGAAAUGCGUAGAUAUAUGGAAGAACACCAGUGGCGAAGGCGGCUGUCUGGUCUGUAACUGACGCUGAGGCUCGAAAGCAUGGGUAGCAAACAGGAUUAGAUACCCUGGUAGUCCAUGCCGUAAACGAUGAGUGCUAGGUGUUGGAGGGUUUCCGCCCUUCAGUGCCGCAGCUAACGCAUUAAGCACUCCGCCUGGGGAGUACGACCGCAAGGUUGAAACUCAAAGGAAUUGACGGGGGCCCGCACAAGCGGUGGAGCAUGUGGUUUAAUUCGAAGCAACGCGAAGAACCUUACCAGGUCUUGACAUCCUUUGACCACUCUAGAGAUAGAGCUUUCCCUUCGGGGACAAAGUGACAGGUGGUGCAUGGUUGUCGUCAGCUCGUGUCGUGAGAUGUUGGGUUAAGUCCCGCAACGAGCGCAACCCUUAUUACUAGUUGCCAGCAUUAAGUUGGGCACUCUAGUGAGACUGCCGGUGACAAACCGGAGGAAGGUGGGGACGACGUCAAAUCAUCAUGCCCCUUAUGACCUGGGCUACACACGUGCUACAAUGGAUGGUACAACGAGUUGCGAGACCGCGAGGUUUAGCUAAUCUCUUAAAACCAUUCUCAGUUCGGAUUGUAGGCUGCAACUCGCCUACAUGAAGCCGGAAUCGCUAGUAAUCGCGGAUCAGCAUGCCGCGGUGAAUACGUUCCCGGGUC